AUUGAACGCUGGCGGCAUGCUUUACACAUGCAAGUCGAACGGUAACAGGCCGCAAGGUGCUGACGAGUGGCGAGCGGGUGAGUAAUGCAUCGGAACGUGCCCAGUCGUGGGGGAUAACGCAGCGAAAGCUGCGCUAAUACCGCAUACGAUCUAUGGAUGAAAGCGGGGGACCGUAAGGCCUCGCGCGAUUGGAGCGGCCGAUGUCAGAUUAGGUAGUUGGUGGGGUAAAGGCUCACCAAGCCAACGAUCUGUAGCUGGUCUGAGAGGACGACCAGCCACACUGGGACUGAGACACGGCCCAGACUCCUACGGGAGGCAGCAGUGGGGAAUUUUGGACAAUGGGCGCAAGCCUGAUCCAGCAAUGCCGUGUGCAGGAAGAAGGCCUUCGGGUUGUAAACUGCUUUUGUACGGAACGAAACGGUCCUGGUUAAUACCCGGGGCUAAUGACGGUACCGUAAGAAUAAGCACCGGCUAACUACGUGCCAGCCGCCGCGGUAACAC
rnacentral:rRNA from 1 species